rnacentral:rRNA from 1 species
UACGGAGGGAGCUAGCGUUGUUCGGAAUUACUGGGCGUAAAGCGCACGUAGGCGGCUUUGUAAGUUAGAGGUGAAAGCCCGGAGCUCAACUCCGGAAUUGCCUUUAAGACUGCAUCGCUCGAAUCCAGGAGAGGUGAGUGGAAUUCCGAGUGUAGAGGUGAAAUUCGUAGAUAUUCGCAAGAACACCAGUGGCGAAGGCGGCUCACUGGCCCGUUACUGACGCUGAGGCACGAAAGCGUGGGGAGCAAACAGG